GCCGUCGUAGCUCAGUGGUAGAGCACUUCCAUGGUAAGGAAGGGGUCUCGGGUUCAAAUCCCGACGACGGCUCCA
rnacentral:tRNA from 1 species